UUUCCGUAGGUGAACCUGCGGAAGGAUCAUUAUUGAAUACUCUUGAUGGGUUGUAGCUGGCUCUUCGGGGCAUGUGCACACUUGUCUUGACUUUAUUCAUCCACCUGUGCACCUUUUGUAGUCUUGUGGGUUGAGAGCAGUCGACUAUCGGAUGGCUAUGGCCUUUCCGGACGUGAGGAAUGCUGAGUGCGAAAGCAUACAGCUCUUCUCAAAUGACUUGCAAAACCUCUUCCUCAAGUACUAUGUAUUCAUAUUCCGCAUAGUAUGUUGUCGAAUGUGAUCAAUGGGCCUAUGUGCCUAUAAAAAUCAUAUACAACUUUCAGCAACGGAUCUCUUGGCUCUC
rnacentral:misc_RNA from 1 species